CUUUUUCCAGCACCCAGCCUGUUAUUCCGCCUUUCAUAUUCAUACGGCAGAUGUAAGUCCAAAACAGAAAGGCCUUGCCUAGGAAAGUGAAUGAUAAGCAAAUCUAAUUGAGAAAAAAACCAACCAGAGUCAGUGUCCAGUAAUGGCUCUGCAAUGCGCAGCCUCCGAAUGUGACGACCACAGGCUCUGCUUGCCUUUUACCUGACUGCCAGCACCCUGCAGAGCAGCAUCAAAGUUCUGGAGGCCAGAAAUUUGAAAUGAGUCUUAUGGAGCUGAAAUCAAGCACAAACCAAAGCUGGGCUUCAUCUGGAUGCUCUAUGAAAGAUUCCUUUGCUCGCCUCUUCCAAUUCCUGGUGGUUGCUGGCAUUCCUUGCAUUGUAGACUCGUCAUCCCAACGUCUUCCUCCUUGGCCCCAUUGCCUUCUCCUCUCCUGUGUGGGCAUCAUCAACUCUCCCUUUCCCUCCCUCUUAAAAGGAUAUGAAUGUGACUGCUUUAGGACCUACCUGGAUAAUUCAGAAUAAUCUCCCCAUCUCAAGACCCUUAACAUAAUCACAUAUGCAAAGAACUUCUCUUUUCUUUAAUCAUAUGAGUUAACAUGUACAAAUUUCAGAGAUGAGAACAUGGAUAUCUUUAGGGUGCCAUUUUUUCAGUCCAUUGGAAAUGGUAGAUGUGGAAGAA
rnacentral:lncRNA from 1 species